rnacentral:rRNA from 1 species
UACGUAGGUGGCAAGCGUUGUCCGGAUUUAUUGGGUUUAAAGGGUGCGUAGGCGGCUAUCUAAGUCAGUGGUGAAAUAUCUCAGCUUAACUGAGAGGGUGCCAUUGAUACUGGAUAGCUUGAGUACAGAUGAGGUAGGCGGAAUUGACGGUGUAGCGGUGAAAUGCAUAGAUAUCGUCAAGAACUCCGAUAGCGAAGGCAGCUUACUAAGCUGUAACUGACGCUGAGGCACGAAAGUGUGGGGAUCAAAC